AUUGAACGCUGGCGGCAUGCCUUACACAUGCAAGUCGAACGGCAGCGGACCUUCGGGUGCCGGCGAGUGGCGAACGGGUGAGUAAUAUAUCGGAACGUACCUUUCAGUGGGGGAGUAACGUAGCGAAAGUUACGCUAAUACCGCAUAUUCUGUGAGCAGGAAAGCAGGGGAUCGCAAGACCUUGCGCUGAUUGAGCGGCCGAUAUCAGAUUAGCUAGUUGGUGAGGUAAAGGCUCACCAAGGCGACGAUCUGUAGCGGGUCUGAGAGGAUGAUCCGCCACACUGGAACUGAGACACGGUCCAGACUCCUACGGGAGGCAGCAGUGGGGGAAUUUUGGACAAUGGGCGCAAGCCUGAUCCAGCCAUGCCGCGUGAGUGAAGAAGGCCUC
rnacentral:rRNA from 1 species